UUCUCGAAAAGUUGUUCCGUGUUCCCAAACGUCUGCGUCUCUUCGUCUCCAACACUAUUUCUGUCAAUUUAUUUGUUCCGUACAUUGUUCAUAUUGUUUGUGAGCAUGAUCCCCCACCCGCUCUUUGCCACCACUUUCAUCACCACCUC
ensembl:ncRNA Y41C4A.27 ncRNA